GACAGAGGGUGCAAACGUUGUUCGGAUUUACUGGGCGUAAAGCGCGUGUAGGCGGCUUUGCAAGUCGGAUGUGAAAGCCCACGGCUCAACCGUGGAAGUGCAUCCGAAACUGCAUGGCUGGAGUCUCGGAGAGGAAGGUGGAAUGCUUGGUGUAGAGGUGAAAUGCGCAGAUAUCAGGAAGAACACCCGUGGCGAAGGCGGCUUUCUGGGACGGUACUGACGCUGAGACGCGAAAGCGUGGGGAGCGAACAGG
rnacentral:rRNA from 1 species